AGAGUUUGAUCCUGGCUCAGGACGAACGCUGGCGGCGUGCUUAACACAUGCAAGUCGAGCGAAGCGUUUUAGUCAGCUUGCUGACUGAAAUGACUGAGCGGCGAACGGGUGAGUAACACGUGGGUGACCUGCCCGAGAGACUGGGAUAACAGCCCGAAAGGGCUGCUAAUACCGGAUGAUACCAUAGGGGUAAGCCCUAUGGUCAAAGUGCUUAGCGCUCUCGGAUGGGCCCGCGUCCCAUUAGCUAGUUGGUAGGGUAACGGCCUACCAAGGCGACGAUGGGUAGCCGGUCUGAGAGGAUGGUCGGCCACACUGGGACUGAGACACGGCCCAGACUCCUACGGGAGGCAGCAGUGGGGAAUUUUGCGCAAUGGGGGAAACCCUGACGCAGCGACGCCGCGUGGGUGAAGAAGGCUUUCGGGUCGUAAAGCCCUGUCUGGGGGGAAGAUAAUGAGGGUACCCCCGGAGGAAGCCCCGGCUAACUACGUGCCAGCCGCCGCGGUAAUUC
rnacentral:rRNA from 1 species